rnacentral:rRNA from 1 species
AGGAACGCUGGCGGCGUGCCUAAUACAUGCAAGUCGAGCGGACAGAUGGGAGCUUGCUCCCUGAUGUUAGCGGCGGACGGGUGAGUAACACGUGGGUAACCUGCCUGUAAGACUGGGAUAACUCCGGGAAACCGGGGCUAAUACCGGAUGGUUGUCUGAACCGCAGGUUCAGACAUAAAAGGUGGCUUCGGCUACCACUUACAGAUGGACCCGCGGCGCAUUAGCUAGUGGUGAGGUAACGGCUCACCAAGGCGACGAUGCGUAGCCGACCUGAGAGGGUGAUCGGCCACACUGGGACUGAGACACGGCCCAGACUCCUACGGGAGGCAGCAGUAGGGAAUCUUCCGCAAUGGACGAAAGUCUGACGGAGCAACGCCGCGUGAGUGAUGAAGGUUUUCGGAUCGUAAAGCUCUGUUGUUAGGGAAGAACAAGUGCCGUUCAAAUAGGGCGGCACCUUGACGGUACCUAACCAGAAAGCCACGGCUAACUACGUGCCAGCAGCCGCGGUAAUACGUAGGUGGCAAGCGUUGUCCGGAAUUAUUGGGCGUAAAGGGCUCGCAGGCGGUUUCUUAAGUCUGAUGUGAAAGCCCCCGGCUCAACCGGGGAGGGUCAUUGGAAACUGGGGAACUUGAGUGCAGAAGAGGAGAGUGGAAUUCCACGUGUAGCGGUGAAAUGCGUAGAGAUGUGGAGGAACACCAGUGGCGAAGGCGACUCUCUGGUCUGUAACUGACGCUGAGGAGCGAAGCGUGGGGAGCGAACAGGAUUAGAUACCCUGGUAGUCCACGCCGUAAACGAUGAGUGCUAAGUGUUAGGGGGUUUCCGCCCCUUAGUGCUGCAGCUAACGCAUUAAGCACUCCGCCUGGGGAGUACGGUCGCAAGACUGAAACUCAAGGAAUUGACGGGGGCCCGCACAAGCGGUGGAGCAUGUGGUUUAAUUCGAAGCAACGCGAGACCUUACCAGGUCUUGACAUCUCUGACAUCUAGAGAUAGACGUCCCUUCGGGGGCAGAGUGACAGUGGUGCAUGAUGUCGUCAGCUCGUGUCGUGAGAAUGUUGGUAGU